AACAAACGCUGGCGGCAGGCCUAACACAUGCAAGUCGAGCGAAGCCUUCGGGCUUAGCGGCGGACGGGUGAGUAACGCGUGGGAACGUGCCCUUUGGUACGGAAUAGCCCCGGGAAACUGGGAGUAAUACCGUAUGUGCCCUUCGGGGGAAAGAUUUAUCGCCAAAGGAUCGGCCCGCGUUGGAUUAGGGAGUUGGUGGGGUAAUGGCCUACCAAGCCGACGAUCCAUAGCUGGUUUGAGAGGAUGAUCAGCCACACUGGGACUGAGACACGGCCCAGACUCCUACGGGAGGCAGCAGUGGGGAAUCUUAGACAAUGGGGGAAACCCUGAUCUAGCCAUGCCGCGUGAUCGAUGAAGGCCUUAGGGUUGUAAAGAUCUUUCAGUGGGGAAGAUAAUGACUGUACCCACAGAAGAAGCCCCGGCUAACUCCGUGCCAGCCGCCGCUGUAACAC
rnacentral:rRNA from 1 species